AGGUAUAAGUCUUAAAAGAGGGACGAAAGAUACCAGAGGGACAGUCAAACUCAUAAAUCGAAAAUAAACUGACAACGCCAUGGCUAAAAAUGAAAAAGACAAACAGACAAACAAUAGUACAUAUGACACAACAUAGAAAACUAAAGAAUAAGCAACACGAACCUCACCAAAAACUAGGGGUGAUCUCAGGUGCUCCGGAAGGGUAAGAAGAUCCUGCUCCACAUGUGGCACCCGUCAUGUUGCUUAUGUGAUAACAAAUCCGGUAAAUAGUCU
rnacentral:lncRNA from 1 species